UACAGAGGUGGCAAGCGUUGUUCGGAAUUACUGGGCGUAAAGGGCGCGUAGGCGGCCUUCUAAGUCUUGUGUGAAAUCCCUCGGCUCAACUGAGGAACUGCACGGGAUACUGGAUGGCUUGAGUUCGGGAGAGGGAAGCGGAAUUCCGGGUGUAGCGGUGAAAUGCGUAGAUAUCCGGAGGAACACCGGUGGCGAAGGCGGCUUCCUGGACCGAUCACUGACGCUGAGGCGCGAAAGCUAGGGGAGCAAACGGG
rnacentral:rRNA from 1 species